GACGAACGCUGGCGGCGUGCCUAAUACAUGCAAGUUGAGCGCUGAAGGUUGGUACUUGUACCAACUGGAUGAGCAGCGAACGGGUGAGUAACGCGUGGGGAAUCUGCCUUUGAGCGGGGGACAACAUUUGGAAACGAAUGCUAAUACCGCAUAAAAACUUUAAACACAAGUUUUAAGUUUGAAAGAUGCAAUUGCAUCACUCAAAGAUGAUCCCGCGUUGUAUUAGCUAGUUGAUGAGGUAAAGGCUCACCAAGGCGAUGAUACAUAGCCGACCUGAGAGGGAGAGCGGCCACAUGGAGUGUGACACGGCCCAAACUCCUACGGGAGGCAGCAGUAGGGAAUCUUCGGCAAUGGACGAAAGUCUGACCGAGCAACGCCGCGUGAGUGAAGAAGGUUUUCGGAUCGUAAAACUCUGUUGGUAGAGAAGAACGUUGGUGAGAGUGGAAAGCUCAUCAAGUGACGGUAACUACCCAGAAAGGGACGGCUAACUACGUG
rnacentral:rRNA from 1 species